rnacentral:rRNA from 1 species
GAGAGCCUGAUCCAGCCAUGCCGCGUGCAGGAAGACUGCCCUAUGGGUUGUAAACUGCUUUUAUACGGGAAGAAACACCCUCUCGUGAGGGGGCUUGACGGUACCGUAUGAAUAAGGAUCGGCUAACUCCGUGCCAGCAGCCGCGGUAAUACGGAGGAUCCAAGCGUUAUCCGGAAUCAUUGGGUUUAAAGGGUCCGUAGGCGGGACAAUAAGUCAGUGGUGAAAGUCUGCAGCUCAACUGUAGAACUGCCAUUGAUACUGUUGUCCUUGAGUAAUUAUGAAGUGGUUAGAAUAUGUAGUGUAGCGGUGAAAUGCAUAGAUAUUACAUAGAAUACCGAUUGCGAAGGCAGAUCACUAAUAAUUUACUGACGCUGAUGGACGAAAGCGUAGGUAGCGAACAGGAUUAGAUACCCUGGUAGUCUACGCCGUAAACGAUGGUUACUAGCUGUUUGGUCUAAUUAAGGACUGAGUGGCUAAGCGAAAGUGAUAAGUAACCCACCU